UGCAAAUCAAUAUAAAUUGAUUAAUUUAAAAUUUAUUUAUUAAUUUUUAAUUUGUUUAUAAUAAUUUAUUAAAAAUAAUUAUAUUAUUUAAUGUUUUAGUAAUUUUUAUUGAAAAAAUAAUUUUUAUAAUAGUUUAUUAUGUAUUGUAAAAGAAUAUUGAAAUAUUUUGAAAAAUUUUUGUUAAAAAAGAAAAUUUUAUUUAUUGUACCUUGUGUAUCAGGGUUUAUUAAAUAAUUAUUAAAUAUUUAUUUAUCUCGAUUUUAUAAGAGUUAAUGAUUUAUUAAAUUUAUUGUAUCAAAAUUAUUUUAAAUAAAUCAUUAGAAAUGAAAUGUUAUUCGUUUAUGAAGGUAUCUAGUUUUUUUAGAAAUAAAUUUAAUUUACAAGUUUUUAAUUUUUUAUUUAUUUAUUAAGAUAAAAUAAUUAUUAAUUUGAAUAUUUUAAGGGAUAAGCUUUAAAAUAAAUUAUUAAAAAUUAAUAUAAUUUUAUAUAAAUGUAUGUGUAGAAUUAGCAAUCAUUUAUAAAUUUAUUAUAAAUUAUUUUAUUAUUUAUAUUAUUUAUUAUAUUUUAAUUUUUUAUAAAAAUUUUCUUUUUAAUUAGAUAAAAGAACAAAUAAUGAUAAAAUUAGUAUAUUAAAAUUGUUUUUAUAAUUUAAUAUGAUAAGUUUAUAUAAAGAAUUCGGCAAAUUAUAUACUCGCCUGUUUAACAAAAACAUGUCUUUUUGAAAUUUAUAAAAAGUCUAACCUGCCCACUGAAUAAAUUUAAAUGGCCGCAGUAUUCUAACUGUGCAAAGGUAGCAUAAUCAUUAGUCUUUUAAUUGAAGGCUGGAAUGAAUGGUUGGACGAAGUAUAAUCUGUUUCAUUUAAAUUUAUAAUAGAAUUUUAUAUUUUAGUUAAAAAGCUAAAAUAUAAUUAAAAGACGAGAAGACCCUAUAAAUCUUUAUAUUUUAUAUUAUAUAAAUUUUUUAGAUGAAUUUUAUUUUUAUAAUAUAAAAUAUUUUGUUGGGGUGAUAUUAAAAUUUAAUUAACUUUUAAUUUUAUUAAAUCAUUAAUUUAUGAUUUGUUGAUCCGUUAAUAACGAUUAUAAGAUUAAGUUACUUUAGGGAUAACAGCGUAAUUUUUUUGGAGAGUUCAUAUCGAUAAAAAAGUUUGCGACCUCGAUGUUGGAUUAAGAUAUUUUUUAGGUGUAGCCGCUUAAAUAUAAAGUCUGUUCGACUUUUAAA
rnacentral:rRNA from 1 species